AUGGCUCAGAUUGAACGCUGGCGGCAGGCCUAACACAUGCAAGUCGAACGGUAACAGGAAGCAGCUUGCUGCUUCGCUGACGAGUGGCGGACGGGUGAGUAAUGUCUGGGAAACUGCCUGAUGGAGAGGGAUAACUACUGGAAACGGUGGCUAAUACCGCAUAACGUCGCAAGACCAAAGAGGGGGACCUUCGGGCCUCUUGCCAUCAGAUGUGCCCAGAUGGGAUUAGCUAGUUGGUGAGGUAACGGCUCACCAAGGCGACGAUCCCUAGCUGGUCUGAGAGGAUGACCAGCCACACUGGAACUGAGACACGGUCCAGACUCCUACGGGAGGCAGCAGUGGGGAAUAUUGCACAAUGGGCGCAAGCCUGAUGCAGCCAUGCCGCGUGUAUGAAGAAGGCCUUCGGGUUGUAAAGUACUUUCAGCGGGGAGGAAGGUGUUGUGGUUAAUAACCGCAGCAAUUGACGUUACCCGCAGAAGAAGCACCGGCUAACUCCGUGCCAGCAGCCGCGGUAAUACGGAGGGUGCAAGCGUUAAUCGGAAUUACUGGGCGUAAAGCGCACGCAGGCGGUCUGUCAAGUCGGAUGUGAAAUCCCCGGGCUCAACCUGGGAACUGCAUUCGAAACUGGCAGGCUUGAGUCUUGUAGAGGGGGGUAGAAUUCCAGGUGUAGCGGUGAAAUGCGUAGAGAUCUGGAGGAAUACCGGUGGCGAAGGCGGCCCCCUGGACAAAGACUGACGCUCAGGUGCGAAAGCGUGGGGAGCAAACAGGAUUAGAUACCCUGGUAGUCCACGCCGUAAACGAUGUCUACUUGGAGGUUGUGCCCUUGAGGCGUGGCUUCCGGAGCUAACGCGUUAAGUAGACCGCCUGGGGAGUACGGCCGCAAGGUUAAAACUCAAAUGAAUUGACGGGGGCCCGCACAAGCGGUGGAGCAUGUGGUUUAAUUCGAUGCAACGCGAAGAACCUUACCUGGUCUUGACAUCCACAGAAGAAUCCAGAGAUGGAUUUGUGCCUUCGGGAACUGUGAGACAGGUGCUGCAUGGCUGUCGUCAGCUCGUGUUGUGAAAUGUUGGGUUAAGUCCCGCAACGAGCGCAACCCUUAUCCUUUGUUGCCAGCGGUCCGGCCGGGAACUCAAAGGAGACUGCCAGUGAUAAACUGGAGGAAGGUGGGGAUGACGUCAAGUCAUCAUGGCCCUUACGACCAGGGCUACACACGUGCUACAAUGGCGCAUACAAAGAGAAGCGACCUCGCGAGAGCAAGCGGACCUCAUAAAGUGCGUCGUAGUCCGGAUUGGAGUCUGCAACUCGACUCCAUGAAGUCGGAAUCGCUAGUAAUCGUGGAUCAGAAUGCCACGGUGAAUACGUUCCCGGGCCUUGUACACACCGCCCGUCACACCAUGGGAGUGGGUUGCAAAAGAAGUAGGUAGCUUAACCUUCGGGAGGGCGCUUACCACUUUGUGAUUCAUGACUGGGGUGAAGUCGUAACAAGGUAACCGUAGGGGAACCUGCGGUUGGAUCACCUCCUUA
rnacentral:rRNA from 1 species